GUGCUCGCUUCGGCAGCACAUAUAUGAAAAUCGGAAUGAUACAGAGCAGAUGAGCAUGGCCCCCCCACAAGGAUGCACCGCAAAUUCGUGAGGCGUUCACGUUUUUC